GGAGUUGUGGCUCAGUGGUAGAGCACUUGCCUAGCACACCUGAGGUUGCAGGAUUCAAUCCUCAGCACCA
rnacentral:tRNA from 1 species